UAACCACUCCCCCUUACCCCGCCCCCGCCGCAGCCCUCCCCAUUACCUCGCUCCUCGCUCCCCGCCUCCGCCCGUCCCGGCCCUGUUCCCUCCUUGCCGCCACAGCCCACCGCCCGGAGACCCCGAACGCCCGGGUCUCCCGCCGCUAUCCCGAGGCCGGAAGCGGAAGUGCGGCCGGGGAGCGGCCGCGGGUCUGGCACCAGGGCUGCGAGUCCUGUCUUCCCGGCCGGUGCGCGCCGGAACCCGCUUGAGGAGCGGGACUCGAUGCGCCGCGGAGAUCUUGGGUCCGAUCCAGGAGGGAGGGGCUGGGCCUCGGGCAGCCCCGGGUCACGCCGACAUCCCCCUGUCCCUCACGCGAGCCCCAGUCCUUCCCUGGGGCCUCAGGCUGUUCCUCAGGCAAGAAAAGCAUCUCUCCGUUUCAAGUUUGUAUUGAAACCAGCCUCAAGGUUCACCUGCCCUCAGGGAUCCGUGGAUUUCUGUGUGAUCAGGGCCCGGCCUGAGCACGCUGUGCCGACCAGAGGAGGAGCGUCCGGGG